ensembl:lncRNA
UCUCCUGCUCUCCAUCUGACAGAUGCUUCCAUCUAAUGCAGGCUUUCUUCCCUCCUGCUACGUUUGCAAGCGCGUCUGCCGUCAUUCUGGAUGCUCCCUAUAAAGCCUGGAAACGACGGGAUGGAAGGAGCUCCGCAGGCUCACGAGUGUCACAGUCUAAGGAAAAACACUGCCUCUGCAGUCAGCUUGGUUUGGCUUUGGAUGAGACAAACGGGUCUGGUGGGUUUGGACCCCCAGAGGUCCCAUCCAACAUCCUCCAUUCGGUGAUAUGGCAAUCCUGGUACAGCAUCUCCCGUUCCUAGAGCAUCCCGCCCAUGGGUCCCAGGGCUUACAGUCUGCUCCAGCACUCACAGCCAUGGACAUCCCUGUUCCCCAGCAGCUCUGGGACUGGAUCUUCUCCGUCAGCUCACCCCAAGCAGUCACCAAACCCACACAGGACCAUUCAUAUCCCUUGUGAUGGAAAACCUGCUCCUCUAACAGCAGCAGACAGGCGGGAGAAAGCCCUUGGGCUUUAAUUGCUGCAGAAAGGCAGCCAGAAGUACUGCAGAGAUAAAUAGACCGAAGCGAUGCUUGGUUAUCUGAAAGCUUCAGCUUUGCUCUUUUCCAGAAGAAUAAGCAUCAUCCUUAGCUAUAAAGUAGCUCUCAGCUCC